CUUCGUCAUUUGUUCUUAAUCUGUUGUCCAUCUUAAACCUUUUCAAAGAUCUUCUUUAAAACUACAGAACCAAUUUCAACUAAAGUUUGGGUGAAUGUUCCUAAGGAUAUGUUGUAUAAAGUUUGUGAGUUUUCUCCUAUUCACUCAACAAAUAGGGCUGCCAUGGCUAAUUAUAGAACAUAAAAUCCUCAGAAUGACAAAAUCUACAUUUUCAUAUUUUAAUGCCCCACCUAGGAGCAUUAUGUCUGCCCUGUAGUCUGUCUGUCCUGCUUCAGGUUAAAGUUUUUGUUAAAGGUAGGUUUUAAUGCCAAAUUUUUUACCCUAAUUUCAGGGUCCACUGAACAUAGAAAAUGAUAGUGUAUGAGUGGAUCAUCCCUGUACUUUGGACACAUUCAAAUUAUCAAAUAACUCAAUUGCAUCUGGGAGCCCUAGUGUUUAAAAAAUAAUAAUGGGUAUAAAUCUAUCUUGUCUAGUUGAACAUACCCUAUUCCAAAGGAGAUUUUCUAGCCUACCCUUGUCUAGGUAAACAUACCCCAUUCCAAAGGAGAUUUUCUAGCCUACCUUGUCUAGGUAAACUUACCCCAUUCCAAAGGAGAUUUUCUAGCCUACCCUUGUCUGCUGAUAGUUAAACAUACCAAUAUCCAGAAGAGGAUAUUUACUGCACUGUCCCUGUCACUCAACAUACCCUGUUGGAAAAAGCAGAUGUAGUCAGAGGCGGAUUCAGAGGGGGGGGGGCCAGGGGGCCCGGCCCCCCCUUUUUGGGAAAAAAUUUGGUUGCUUAUAUAGGGAAUCACUGAAGCGUGACUGGAGCGGGCCCCCUCUUAGGUCAGUCAGUGGGCCCCCACUUAUGAAAAUUUCUGGAUCCGCCACUG
rnacentral:lncRNA from 1 species